UCCGGUGUGGUGUAGCGGUAACAUUGUUGACUCUCAUCUGCUUCUAGCAAAUAGAUCUCAAUAGCCCGGGGUUCGAUUCCCCGCUCCGGAA